rnacentral:tRNA from 1 species
CUCUCUGUGGCACAAUUGGUUAGCGCGUUCGGCUGUUAACCGGAAGGUUGGUGGUUCAAGCCCACCCAGGGACG